UCGGCGGCGGCGGUGGCGAGGCCGAAGCCGAACUCGUGGCACAGGAUUCGAACCCAACGAUGAAUUCAGAAGCGAACCUGAGGAAAUCGAAACCACAGGGGGUUGUUGUGCGAUGAUGCAGCUAUUGAAUGCCGCGUUUCUCAAGGAUGAGCACACGGGUAAUCGAUCGGGUGUAUGGGCUAGGCUGUUUCCGCCGGCAGUAGUUGGGGAGUGUUCGUCACGGCUUGCUCUGAAGAGACAGUAAAUCGACGCUGCUGUUAUUGCGUUUUGCAACGGCGAUGGAAUGAGUUUGGAGGUUCAAGUUUUCAACCUUUGGAUCGAUGCAUGCCAUGCGGGUUUUGGAGUAUUGCGAGUGUCGGUCGUGGGUUGGAGUGGUUGUGUCAGGUUUUGUUCGUUGCAUUUGUGUCGUGUAAUAUUACUUCGAUAAGUCGUUGUAAUUCGUCGUGCGGCUCAAAUGGAGAUUCUCGCGAAAAUGUUGCUGUUGUCAAUGCAGUGGAGGUGAGAGAGAUUAGGAGUUUGGGUUUCACGGGGGAUUUGUGCAGUGGGUGAUGUAAUGAAGAAGGCGAUGGCGUUCGUUGGGCAAUCGUUCUGCAGUUCACAUCCCUUCCCAUUUGCAUUCGGAGGAUUCAUCACGGUUUGUUACCUUCAGGAGGAGUUUUCUAUUGGUUUGCUGAAAUUGAGAUUACGGGUCCAUGACCAGGAUGAAGUCGUUCCGAGGGCACAGUUGAAGUCUGUUGGUGCGAGGUUGAGGGGGCAGGGGUAGGAACGAGUGUGUGAAGUUGCGGAGUGGAGAGGGCACAGUGUACUCGCAAUCUGCAGUGGAUGCGAUUCCAAAUUGGGAACCAUGAAGAGGAAGGGUUUCAAAAAAUCAUUGAUCUCGGCAGCUGGCGAGACUCAGUUAUUGGGAAUUACACCCACUUCGUAAUACUAUACAUUGGUGUAAUUCAAGAUGCGCAAAUUAGCCACAAUGCUGUCAUCGGCUGGGGUGCGCACGAUUCCCCACAAGGAGGUCUUAUGUUGUGAUUGGGAACAUGACGGGCAUUUCUUAUCAUGUUAGCGCAGCCAAGAGUGGGAUUGUAUCGAACAUUGACACAGCUCGCGACUACGCUUGCUUUCGUGCAGUUCCAGCUCGUGAGUGGUGGAAGGAAUUGAGAGUUCUAUGGAAGUUGGUAAGGCUAGUUUUGAAGGCAUUGCCUACAGACGCUGCCGAAUCUGAGGGACCCGCUGCUGAAGUUCAUUGAGAUAAUGCUACUCUUUACAAAUUUGAGUGUUCUACGCAAGUGUGUAGCCUUGACUCCGUUCCAGGAACAGGAUGCGAAAAUCUGAAACAAGAAUUGCUUGCAUUCACAAUUAGAAGCCAUAAAUGUGUGGACAGAAGGUAGCACAAUGCAUUGUAUUACAUUCUCAAUGGUAACUUCGGGAGUUCGUGUGUUGUGUGGUUGAGAAUUUCUCCCACAUGUACAUAAUACCAGGAACAGCUCACGAUGGUUGAAACCAUGCUAAAGUGGUUAUGACUAAGGAGUUUGCAAUAGGUGGACACAUAUACAGUGAUGAAUUUCACAUUAUAACCAGUGGCUAAAA